rnacentral:lncRNA from 1 species
CUGCGCCUGUCCUCCAGCUCUAUCAGCUUGACCAAUCUUAGCUUGAGGAGAACAUUUAGAACCAUGGUCGGGAUGCUUCCGGACCAAGGGCAACCUGUUCCUGACAGGGUCAGCAAAGCUGUGCUUCCUCCUCUGAUGGGUUUGUAAGCCUGGCAGAGAGAAGAAAGCGAGGAGAAGGAAUGCUGGUUCCUCUGCCAGCCAGCUCUGUUUAUGAAAUUCCUGAUUGUCUCCAGAAACGAGAGGAAAGCUAAGUGCUU